rnacentral:rRNA from 1 species
GACGAACGCUGGCGGCGUGCCUAAUACAUGCCAGUCGAGCGAAGUUUUUCUGGUGCUUGCACCGGAAAAACUUAGCGGCGAACGGGUGAGUAACACGUAAAGAACCUGCCUCAUAGACUGGGACAACUAUUGGAAACGAUAGCUAAUACCGGAUAACAGCAUUAACUGCAUGGUUGAUGUUUAAAAGUUGGUUUUGCUAACACUAUGAGAUGGCUUUGCGGUGCAUUAGCUAGUUGGUGGGGUAAAGGCCUACCAAGGCGACGAUGCAUAGCCGACCUGAGAGGGUGAUCGGCCACACUGGGACUGAGACACGGCCCAGACUCCUACGGGAGGCAGCAGUAGGGAAUCUUCCGCAAUGGGCGAAAGCCUGACGGAGCAACGCCGCGUGAGUGAAGAAGGAUUUCGGUUCGUAAAGCUCUGUUGUUAGGGAAGAAUGAUUGUGUAGUAACUAUACACAGUAGAGACGGUACCUAACCAGAAAGCCACGGCUAACUACGUG